AUCAACUGUUGAUCAUGUUCUGAUUGUUGGAUCCUAUUUCCAUUAUGCUGGAGGCUUUGAACCUCCUCAGGCAGUGGAUAUAUCUCUGAAUCCUGAUCGUUCAGAUCCAAUGUAUACUUUGUAUUCUAGAAAAGUUGCUACUGCCUAGG